GGGCCGGGGGGACUGGAGGGCAUCCAGUCUGGGAACUGGGGGACACUUUGGUCCCCCCAUCCCUCGCUGGCACCGGGGACAUCCCAGUGACCAGCCAGGGCUCCUGGGCUCUCUCCAGCUGCAUUUAGUGGACGUUGGGAUCCUGAAGAUGGCUCAGCCCCCUGUGGUGGAGAAGGUGGUGGGUCCUGUUGGUGAGAAAGGCGUGGCUGCAUCCCUGGAUGGCUGAGGACUGGUGGUGACACCCGUGCCCUGUCCCCCUCCAGUGGCAUGAGGAGAUGAUCAUCCCCGGAAGAACCCCCUGAUUUCCCUCAGAGCCCAGGGGCAUUUCCCCAGAAUGAUCAAUAAAUCCCUUCAGCAAAGCUA